UAGCGGCGGACGGGUGAGUAAUGCCUAGGAAUCUGCCUGGUAGUGGGGGAUAACGUUCCGAAAGGAACGCUAAUACCGCGUACGUCCUACGGGAGAAAGCAGGGGACCUUCGGGCCUUGCGCUAUCAGAUGAGCCUAGGUCGGAUUAGCUAGUUGGUGAGGUAAUGGCUCACCAAGGCGACGAUCCGUAACUGGUCUGAGAGGAUGAUCAGUCACACUGGAACUGAGACACGGUCCAGACUCCUACGGGAGGCAGCAGUGGGGAAUAUUGGACAAUGGGCGAAAGCCUGAUCCAGCCAUGCCGCGUGUGUGAAGAAGGUCUUCGGAUUGUAAAGCACUUUAAGUUGGGAGGAAGGGCAUUAACCUAAUACGUUAGUGUUUUGACGUUACCGACAGAAU
rnacentral:rRNA from 1 species